rnacentral:tRNA from 1 species
CGGACCGGUGUCGAACGGCCGGUGAGCGGGGCGUGGUUGACACCCACGCGCGGUGCGCCCGUACGAUCGGGGCCGGACCGGC